GACGAACGCUGGCGGCGUGCUUAACACAUGCAAGUCGAACGGAAAGGCCCUGCUUUUGUGGGGUGCUCGAGUGGCGAACGGAUGAGUAACAAAUGAGUAACCUGCCCUUGACUUUGGGAUAACUUCAGGAAAGUGGGGCUAAUAACGGAUAGGAGCUCCUGCGGCAUGGAGGGGGUAGGAAAGUUUCGGGGGUUUGGGAUGGACUAGCGGCUUAUCAGCUUGGUGGUGGGGUGGUGGCGUACCAAGGCUUUGACGGGUAGACGGCCUGAGAGCGUGACCGGCCACAUUGGGACUGAGAUACGGCCCAGACUCCUACGGGCGGCAGCAGUGGGGAAUAUUGCACAGUGGUCCGAAGCCUGAGACAGCAACGCCGCGUGCGUGAUGACCGCCUUUGGGUUGUAAACCGCUUUCGCCUGUGCCGAAGCGUGAUUGACGGUAACGUGUAAAGAAGCACCGGCUAACUACGUG
rnacentral:rRNA from 1 species